GGGAGGCAGCAGUGGGGAAUAUUGCACAAUGGGCGCAAGCCUGAUGCAGCCAUGCCGCGUGUGUGAAGAAGGCCUUCGGGUUGUAAAGCACUUUCAGUCAGGAGGAAAGGUUAGUAGUUAAUACCUGCUAGCUAUGACGUUACUGACAGAAGAAGCACCGGCUAACUCCGUGCCAGCAGCCGCGGUAAUACGGAGGGUGCGAGCGUUAAUCGGAAUUACUGGGCGUAAAGCGUACGCAGGCGGUUUGUUAAGCGAGAUGUGAAAGCCCCGGGCUCAACCUGGGAACUGCAUUUCGAACUGGCAAACUAGAGUGUGAUAGAGGGUGGUAGAAUUUCAGGUGUAGCGGUGAAAUGCGUAGAGAUCUGAAGGAAUACCGAUGGCGAAGGCAGCCACCUGGGUCAACACUGACGCUCAUGUACGAAAGCGUGGGGAGCAAACAGGAUUAGAUACCCUGGUAGUCCACGCCGUAAACGAUGUCUACUAGAAGCUCGGAGCCUCGGCUCUGUUUUUCAAAGCUAACGCAUUAAGUAGACCGCCUGGGGAGUACGGCCGCAAGGUUAAAACUCAAAUGAAUUGACGGGGACCCGCACAAAAGGGC
rnacentral:rRNA from 1 species